rnacentral:rRNA from 1 species
UCCCCUACGGGACGCAGCAGUGGGGAAUAUUGCACAAUGGGGGAAACCCUGAUGCAGCGACGCCGCGUGAGUGAAGAAGUAUCUCGGUACGUAAAGCUCUAUCAGCAGGGAAGAAAAAAAGUCUUUGGCUUUGGACAGUACCUGACUAAGAAGCCCCGGCUAACUACGUGCCAGCAGCCGCGGUAAUACGUAGGGGGCAAGCGUUAUCCGGAUUUACUGGGUGUAAAGGGAGCGUAGACGGCAGGGCAAGUCUGGAGUGAAAGGCAGGGGCCCAACCCCUGGACUGCUCUGGAAACUGUCCGGCG